rnacentral:rRNA from 1 species
UACAGAGGCCUCGAGCGUUAGGCGGAAUCACUGGGCUUAAAGCGUGUGUAGGCGGACUUCUAAGUACCUUGUGAAAUCCCACGGCUCACCCGUGGAACUGCUCGGUAUACUGGUCGUCUUGAGCCUUCUAGGGGCUACCGGAACAAAUGGUGGAGCGGUGAAAUGCGUAGAUAUCAGUUGGAACGCCAAUGGUGAAAACAGGUAGCUGGGGAAGUGCUGACGCUGAGACACGAAAGCCAGGGGAGCGAACGGG